GACUCUCGGCAACGGAUAUCUCGGCUCUCGCGUCGAUGAAAAACGUAGCGAAAUGUGAUACCUGGUGUGAAUUGCAGAAUCUCGCGAACCAUCGAGUCUUUGAACGCAAGUUGCGCCCGAGGCCACUCGACCGAGGGCACGCCUGCCUGGGCAUCA
rnacentral:rRNA from 16 species